UUAUGUUUACAUUAACGUCGUUUGUUUUUUUUCAGAAUCGAGGCAGAAGAAGACGGUGAUGAACAAUUUCCCGUAGUUCCUACUACUGUUCAACAAGUUGAAACUACAGCACUGCCAGCCAGACAGGCUCGUGCGGCCGACCCGCAGUAUUUCGUGAAUCCUAGAGCGUAUGAAAAUCAACUUCGUAAAAUUCAGUCGGCUUUCUACAGCGAACCUUACGAUCCCAUUCCCAUGCCGUUCUACGAUUCAUAUCCACAACCGGUUGCUGGCCAACGUCAGCUUUUCAGCGGGAUGUUGACUGCAACAGUGACAGUGAAAACGGCUCUCGAAAUCAACACCGUCACGAAAACCCCAAGAUGUUCAAGAGCCGGACCGUUACCUCAAUGCCCGAACGCUUAAUUAUUU